UUGGUGUGAAUUGCAGAAUCCCGUGAACCAUCGAGUUUUUGAACGCAAGUUGCGCCCGAAGCCUUUGGGCCAGGGCACGUCUGCCUGGGCGUCACAC
rnacentral:rRNA from 1 species